rnacentral:rRNA from 1 species
AUUGAACGCUGGCGGCAUGCCUUACACAUGCAAGUCGAACGGCAGCACGGGAGCAAUCCUGGUGGCGAGUGGCGAACGGGUGAGUAAUAUACCGGAACGUGCCCAGUCGUGGGGGAUAACGCAGCGAAAGCUGUGCUAAUACCGCAUACGAUCUACGGAUGAAAGCGGGGGAUCGCAAGACCUCGCGCGAUUGGAGCGGCCGAUAUCAGAUUAGCUAGUUGGUGAGGUAAAGGCUCACCAAGGCGACGAUCUGUAGCUGGUCUGAGAGGACGACCAGCCACACUGGAACUGAGACACGGUCCAGACUCCUACGGGAGGCAGCAGUGGGGAAUUUUGGACAAUGGGCGAAAGCCUGAUCCAGCAAUGCCGCGUGCAGGAUGAAGGCCUUCGGGUUGUAAACUGCUUUUGUACGGAACGAAACGGUGAGCUCUAAUACAGUUUGCUAGUGACGGUACCGUAAGAAUAAGCACCGGCUAACUACGUGCCAGCCGCCGCCGUAA